rnacentral:rRNA from 1 species
UACGUAGGGUGCGAGCGUUAAUCGGAAUUACUGGGCGUAAAGCGUGCGCAGGCGGUUGCGUAAGACAGAUGUGAAAUCCCCGGGCUCAACCUGGGAACUGCAUUUGUGACUGCACAGCUGGAGUGCGGCAGAGGGGAAUGGAAUUCCGCGUGUAGCAGUGAAAUGCGUAGAUAUGCGGAGGAACACCGAUGGCGAAGGCAAUCCCCUGGGCCUGCACUGACGCUCAUGCACGAAAGCGUGGGGAGCAAACAGG